UCAGACAUGGUGUUGUGGUGACACGGCCUCUUCAAAUCGUCCGCAUCGAGUAACUUAGUAUCAGGGGCAGUCCGGGGUUCGAUCCCCUGUGUCUGAA